GCCUGUAAUCCCAGCUACUUGGGAGGCUGAGGCUGGAGGAUUGCUUGAGCUCAGGAGUUCCGGGCUGCAGUGCGCUAUGCUGAUCGGGUGUCCGCACUAAGUUCGGCAUCAAUAUGGUGACCUCCCGGGAGCGGGGGACCACCAGGUUGCCUAAGGAGGGAAGAGGGUCGGGUGGGGGU